GCAAAAUACUAUAAAAUUAGCAUAUGGAAAAUUUAAUAUCAUCAAGUUCUGGAAGUGAAGUAGAUUUUGAGUCAGAUGAUGAUUAUUUGUAUAACAGCAAUCACAACUUGGAGACAGAGGAGGACAAUAUAGAUAGUGAUGUGUGUGAAGAUAGCUAUAAAUAUUGUUAAAGUAAAGAUGGAAAAACUAAAUGGAAU